rnacentral:rRNA from 1 species
AAGGGAGCUUGCUCCCGGAUGUUAGCGGCGGACGGGUGAGUAACACGUGGGUAACCUGCCUGUAAGACUGGGAUAACUCCGGGAAACCGGAGCUAAUACCGGAUAGUUCCUUGAACCGCAUGGUUCAAGGAUGAAAGACGGUUUCGGCUGUCACUUACAGAUGGACCCGCGGCGCAUUAGCUAGUUGGUGAGGUAACGGCUCACCAAGGCGACGAUGCGUAGCCGACCUGAGAGGGUGAUCGGCCACACUGGGACUGAGACACGGCCCAGACUCCUACGGGAGGCAGCAGUAGGGAAUCUUCCGCAAUGGACGAAAGUCUGACGGAGCAACGCCGCGUGAGUGAUGAAGGUUUUCGGAUCGUAAAGCUCUGUUGUUAGGGAAGAACAAGUGCAAGAGUAACUGCUUGCACCUUGACGGUACCUAACCAGAAAGCCACGGCUAACUACGUGCCAGCAGCCGCGGUAAUACGUAGGUGGCAAGCGUUGUCCGGAAUUAUUGGGCGUAAAGGGCUCGCAGGCGGUUUCUUAAGUCUGAUGUGAAAGCCCCCGGCUCAACCGGGGAGGGUCAUUGGAAACUGGGAAACUUGAGUGCAGAAGAGGAGAGUGGAAUUCCACGUGUAGCGGUGAAAUGCGUAGAGAUGUGGAGGAACACCAGUGGCGAAGGCGACUCUCUGGUCUGUAACUGACGCUGAGGAGCGAAAGCGUGGGGAGCGAACAGGAUUAGAUACCCUGGUAGUCCACGCCGUAAACGAUGAGUGCUAAGUGUUAGGGGGUUUCCGCCCCUUAGUGCUGCAGCUAACGCAUUAAGCACUCCGCCUGGGGGAGUACGGUCGCAAGACUGAAACUCAAAGGAAUUGACGGGGGCCCGCACAAGCGGUGGAGCAUGUGGUUUAAUUCGAAGCAACGCGAAGAACCUUACCAGGUCUUGACAUCCUCUGACAACCCUAGAGAUAGGGCUUUCCCUUCGGGGACAGAGUGACAGGUGGUGCAUGGUUGUCGUCAGCUCGUGUCGUGAGAUGUUGGGUUAAGUCCCGCAACGAGCGCAACCCUUGAUCUUAGUUGCCAGCAUUCAGUUGGGCACUCUAAGGUGACUGCCGGUGACAAACCGGAGGAAGGUGGGGAUGACGUCAAAUCAUCAUGCCCCUUAUGACCUGGGCUACACACGUGCUACAAUGGACAGAACAAAGGGCUGCGAGACCGCAAGGUUUAGCCAAUCCCACAAAUCUGUUCUCAGUUCGGAUCGCAGUCUGCAACUCGACUGCGGAAGCGGAAUCGCUAG